rnacentral:rRNA from 1 species
GAACUUAAAUGAAUUGACGGGGCCCGCACAAGCGGUGGAGUAUGUGGUUUAAUUCGAUGCAACGCGAAGAACCUUACCUGGUCUUGACAUCCCGGAGACCCUUAGGAAACUAGGGGGUGCUUCCAUCUGGAAGAAUCUGGAGACAGGUGCUGCAUGGCUGUCGUCAGCUCGUGUCGUGAGAUGUUGGGUUAAGUCCCGCAACGAGCGCAACCCUUGCCUUUAGUUGCCAGCAGUUCGGCUGGGCACUCUAAAGGGACUGCCGGUGUUAAACCGGAGGAAGGUGGGGAUGACGUCAAGUCCUCAUGGCCUUUAUGACCAGGGCUACACACGUACUACAAUGGCCGAUACAAAGGGCAGCGACACUGCGAGGUGAAGCCAAUCCCGUAAAAUCGGUCUCAGUCCGGAUUGGAGUCUGCAACUCGACUCCAUGAAGUUGGAAUCGCUAGUAAUCGUGGAUCAGCAUGCCACGGUGAAUACGUUCCCGGGCCUU